rnacentral:siRNA from 1 species
UCUGAUUCAGUUCUUUCGGUUC